rnacentral:misc_RNA from 1 species
AGGUGAACCUGCGGAAGGAUCAUUACUGAAUGACCUGCACCUUUCUUGUAGUAGACCAUUCAAUAGUCUGCCAUCAGAAUUCGAUGGGAAUCUCGGAUGCGGGCCUUUGGUCUCCUAUGUCUUCUUUUUUUCACCACACAAGACCUGUCGUCGUAUGGUGUUGUGCUUGAACACGCAUAAUAUAACUUUCAACAACGGAUCUCUUGGCUCUCG